UAGUUUGCAUCGCUGAUACUUGUAUAAAUCUCACGAUUUAAAACGCUAAGAAAUCGGUAAUCGAUAAAGCUGUUUUGAUAAAAAUAUCACCGGACUUGGCAAUCAUUCGAAUUUAGUUGAAACUAAGCCGUUCAUCGAAUUAUUACAUCGAAACUGCAGUCAAGAAACAAUGACUACAGUUGAGUUUUCUAGUCCUCUUGCUGAAAAGUACGAGUUCUUCUUGCAAAAUAUCAAUGCCCUGUUUUCGAUCAUUAAACACAUGACGGACAUCGAGUCGCCAAGAAAGAAGAUUCAGGAAAAGCUUCUUGAUGCUGACUACCGAAUGUUCUCCUUCACACAGAUAAAGACCCAAGUAAAGGCCUGUCUUUGUGCUCUUCAGGAUCUUCAUUUGAUGG